rnacentral:lncRNA from 1 species
AACAGUCACCACAAAAGGGAAUUAAUUUAAAUAAGAAAGGUUUAGAGGUUACCAAAGGAAAUUUUUCCAGCAAUUUUGAAAAAAAAAUUAGGCAAACCUCGACAGCAUUCCUUUUCCAGCAGUUCCCUUUUUGAUCAUCCCAGAUUUUUUUUCGAUUCCUGAUCAAGAAAAAUCAAAAAUUAGUAAGAGAGAUGAACGAGAUAGGAAAAGUAACAAAAAUAGAGAAUAUUUUUAUUUUAUUUUAGAUAUAUAUAU